rnacentral:rRNA from 1 species
AUUGAACGCUGGCGGCAUGCCUUACACAUGCAAGUCGAACGGCAGCACGGGAGCAAUCCUGGUGGCGAGUGGCGAACGGGUGAGUAAUAUAUCGGAACGUGCCCAGUCGUGGGGAUAACGUAGCGAAAGCUACGCUAAUACCGCAUACGAUCUAUGGAUGAAAGCGGGGGGAUCGCAAGACCUCGCGCGAUUGGAGCGGCCGAUAUCAGAUUAGGUAGUUGGUGAGGUAAAGGCUCACCAAGCCGACGAUCUGUAGCUGGUCUGAGAGGACGACCAGCCACACUGGGACUGAGACACGGCCCAGACUCCUACGGGAGGCAGCAGUGGGGAAUUUUGGACAAU